UACAGAGGAGCCAAGCGUUGUCCGGAUUGACUGGGCGUAAAGCGCACGCAGGCGGACGCGCGCGUGGGGUGUGAAAUCUGGCCGCUUAACGGCCAGGCGCCAUCCCAUACGGCGCGGCUCGAGCCGUCCAGAGGCCGGUGGAAUUGCCGGUGUAGUGGUGAAAUGCGUAGAUAUCGGGAGGAACACCGGUGGCGAAGGCGGCGACCUGGGUCGAUACUGACGCUGAGGCGCGAAAGCGUGGGGAGCAAACAGG
rnacentral:rRNA from 1 species